rnacentral:rRNA from 1 species
AUGCAAGUCGAGCGAUGAAGCCCUUCGGGGUGGAUUAGCGGCGGACGGGUGAGUAACACGUGGGUAACCUGCCUCAAAGAGGGGGAUAGCCUCCCGAAAGGGAGAUUAAUACCGCAUAACAUUAGUUUUUCGCAUGGAGAACUAAUUAAAGGAGUAAUCCGCUUUGAGAUGGACCCGCGGCGCAUUAGCUAGUUGGUGAGGUAAAGGCUCACCAAGGCGACGAUGCGUAGCCGACCUGAGAGGGUGAUCGGCCACAUUGGAACUGAGACACGGUCCAGACUCCUACGGGAGGCAGCAGUGGGGAAUAUUGCACAAUGGGCGAAAGCCUGAUGCAGCAACGCCGCGUGAGUGAUGAAGGCCUUCGGGUUGUAAAGCUCUGUCUUUGGGGACGAUAAUGACGGUACCCAAGGAGGAAGCCACGGCUAACUACGUGCCAGCAGCCGCGGUAAUACGUAGGUGGCAAGCGUUGUCCGGAUUUACUGGGCGUAAAGGAUGCGUAGGCGGAUAUUUAAGUGAGAUGUGAAAUUCCCGGGCUUAACUUGGGAGCUGCAUUUCAAACUGGAUAUCUAGAGUGUGGGAGAGGAGAAUGGAAUUCCUAGUGUAGCGGUGAAAUGCGUAGAGAUUAGGAAGAACACCAGUGGCGAAGGCGAUUCUCUGGACCAUAACUGACGCUGAGGCAUGAAAGCGUGGGUAGCAAACAGGAUUAGAUACCCUGGUAGUCCACGCCGUAAACGAUGAGUACUAGGUGUAGGAGGUAUCGACUCCUUCUGUGCCGCAGUUAACACAAUAAGUACUCCCCCUGGGAAGUACGAUCGCAAGAUUAAAACUCAAAGGAAUUGACGG